AACGCGAAGAACCUUACCAGGGCUCGAACGCAGGAGGAAUACACCCGAAAGGAUGUAGCCAGCAAUGGCCGCCUGCGAGGUGCUGCAUGGUUGUCGUCAGCUCGUGCCGUGAGGUGUCAGGUUAAGUCCUAUAACGAGCGCAACCCCUAUUCAUAGUUGCCAGCAUAUUACGAUGGGGACUCUAUGAAAACUGCCUGCGCAAGCAGUGAGGAAGGUGGGGAUGACGUCAAAUCAGCACGGCCCUUAUGUCCUGGGCUACACACGUGCUACAAUGGCCGGUACAAAAGGCCGCAACUACGCAAGUAGAAGCUAAUCCCUAAAACCGGUCUCAGUUCGGAUUGGAGUCUGCAACCCGACUCCAUGAAGCCGGAUUCGCUAGUAAUCGCACAUCAGCCAUGGCGCGGUGAAUACGUUCCCGGGUCUUGUACACACCG
rnacentral:rRNA from 1 species